rnacentral:lncRNA from 1 species
CCUGGGGUGGAAAGGUAGGCCUACUCUGCCUGGGGUGGAAAGGUAGGCCUACUCUGUCUGGGGUGGAAAGGUAGGCCUACUCUGUCUGGGGUGGAAAGGUAGGUCUACUCUGUCUGGGGUGGAAAGGUAGACCUACUCUGUCUGGGGUGGAAAGGUAGACCUACUCUGUCUGGGGUGGAAAGGUAGGUCUACUCUGUCUGGGGUGGAAAGGUAGGUCUACUCUGUCUGGGGUGGAAAGGUAGGCCUUCUCUGUCUGGGGUGGAAAGGUAGGUCUACUCUGUCUGGGGUGGAAAGGUAGGUCUACUCUGUCUGGGGUGGAAAGGUAGGCCUAACUUUUGAAAGUAUGAUGCUCAGAUU